GAAGAGUUGCCGGCCUGGUGAGAAAACAACGAGGUAAGCGCAAAUGACUACAUAAUAAAUCACUUAAGUGUGCAUGUGUUAACCAGUAGUGAACCAGUGGUCUCUCAAACCAGUGGUCUCUCAAUUAAAUAUUGUUACCGGAGUAAUAAGUAACUUAUUUGUCCCUUUUCUGUUAUCAGCGUGCCAGUACCACCAGGCCGAAACAUACCCCAUUGCUGGGGUUUUGAAAGAAAGAACAAGGAGGGGAGUGUUCCAAAGACUUCUGAAAUGGGAACCAUGCCCAGAAUGCGGGAAGGAUUUCGCUCCAACCUGGCAGACAGUUUAAGUGACCUCAAAGCUCCCCAGCACUCGCCAUGAAGGGAGGCACCAUGACGCUGGCCUGAUUAUCAUCGACAUUCAAAUCUAUUUCCAGAAUUCAUGCUGCCCUUUCACUAAUGUUACCUUUUUCAUGAGUACACAACCACCAUCAAAUUCUAAGUAUUCAUUAUGACUGGAAAAAUUGCACUUUUCAUACAUGAAAAAGGGAUCUUCAACAUAGUCCGCCAUUUUGAAUUUCCAAAAAUAGCCACUUUCAGCUGCAAAAAUGACUGCACUCGGACCAUACUAGAAAAUAUUUGUUUAUUACUUAGUACACUUUCAUGUAAAGACCAAAUUUGGCAAUAUGCAGCCCAGUUUCAAUGAGCAGCAUAGUUGCAGUACCUUUUUUGACCAUUUCCUGCACAGUGUCCCUUUAACAUUUACCAAGUACUUUACUCCAGACCUGAUUCACAAGGAGGGCUCAGUCUGGCUACCGUGAGGCACAUUUUAGUUGUUUUUGUGUUGAUUUCUUUUGUUUUUAUUACUAUCAUUAUAGUGUUAUUAUUAUUAUUAU